UACGUAGGGUGCGAGCGUUGUCCGGAAUUAUUGGGCGUAAAGAGCUCGUAGGCGGUCUGUCGCGUCGGAUGUGAAAACUCGGGGCUCAACCCCGAGCCUGCAUUCGAUACGGGCAGACUAGAGUUCGGUAGGGGAGACUGGAAUUCCUGGUGUAGCGGUGGAAUGCGCAGAUAUCAGGAGGAACACCGGUGGCGAAGGCGGCUUCUUGGGCCGUUCCUGACGCUGAGGCGCGAAAGCCAGGGGAGCGAACGGG
rnacentral:rRNA from 1 species